UUGCCUCCAUGGCAGUGCAUUUUGUGCGUGCCUGGUGACCUUGAGGCUAGAAGAGUGGCGGAUAACUUUGGCACUGGAGGCUGUGAGUUGUUCUGUAUAUACGGUAUGGGAAUCUAAGUCCGGUCCUCUCGCUGAUCUGUUUCUCUAGCCUAUGCAACUGCCUCCCAAGUGCUGAAAUCACAGGCAUGGGCCGCCACGCUCAGUUUCUUGCACAUUCUAGACAAACCCUCUCCCAAGUGUGCUAAGUGAUAGGAAAGGCGGUCUUAGGCCAGCAGGUGCAGAGAGCUCUGCACUGUGCCAGGCGCUCCGCGUGCUCUAGCUCAUGUCAACGUCACAGCCGCCCCAAAGGGCUGGCGUUCCCGCCCUCACCGCCUUUGCGCCGGGACACAGCAGGCUAGGGUCCUGCCGGAGUCGGCUUCUGCUGCCCCUUCCCGGCGCUAUGGACUGCGGGCUGGAAUACGACCUUCCUGCGGCCCCGCUCGCCCCUGCGCGUCCCCCGGGCGCGAAGGUGUCCUGAGCCGAGCUCUGACUCAGGAUGUUCCGGCGCCAGUCCAUGGAGGGGACCCCGGCCUACAAGCCCAAGGGAUAUCCCGACGGGACCACCCAGCGCCGCCCUGUUAAGCGGCUGCCGAUGCUGCUGCCAAUGCUCGAAGGCCGUGUGGGGCGAGAUGUAGACGGCGCGUGGCGGCGGGACCGCAAGUCCCAGCGCCUGCCUUGCGGGUCCCCCGAGUCCCCGAACGCUCGGCGAGACCGUGGGACCGCGCGCGCACUGCUACUGCCGUCGCUGCAGCCGAGCAGCUCGGCCCGGGAGGCGGGAACUCGGGGGAACCGGCAGCCUGCAGCCCGCGACAACCCUGACUCCCUGGGCACGCUGCUGGGGAAGCUGCUGCCCAACAAGUUCCGCCACUUCCUGCACCACCUGAGCGCCGAGAGCGCAGACCCAGAGGCGGACCCACCCUCAGCGCCACAUAACCCUAGGAGUACAUCAAAUCACUGCCUAGCUUCUCGGUCUUCCAGCUGCUUAUUCCUCCCAGACCUGUGGGACAAACCAUUGCACUGGGACAACAAUUUUAAAGAGAAGACUACCCUGGGGCUCCCAAGAGGUGAACUUGCCAGAGCCAAAAAGGCCCAUCCGUGCCUCCCCACACGGGGUACUCCACUCUCCCAGUUCCUGUGACGGCGGAAUGAUCCCGCCUGUAACAGAGCACAUGACCGGAAGGAGAAAAGUGACAAGUGGAACCCUGAGGACAGUGUGCCCCAGCUCACACGGCCUCAGCGGCACAAUCGAGGCUGACAGCUAUCGUGACAGCUCGAAACUAGAGGCGCUUCUUCCGCCCGGCAUACCCUCGACAGGAUGCUCUUGCAGCCCGCCCCAUCUCUUCACACCUGUGCUGAGGAAGGGCCCCGCUGGAGAAGGCUCAAGACCCCGAAAACGCUAUUGUCCCUUCCGGGUACGAUUCGCAGACGAGACCCUGCAGGACACAGCACUCCGGUACUGGGAACGCAACCGUGCAGUCCGGCAGAAUAUCUUUCCGAGUGAGCAGACGGCUUUGCCAGCUGUAUCUGUGUCAGAACGGGUGCUCGGGAGUGUUGGGAGAUGGUUGGACAGUCUGCCCAGAGCCCUUUAUCCCAGGGUCCAAGACACUGUGGCCGGCUCCUCAUUCUGGACCUGCCCCCGCGUGUCAGCUCAGGAACCUCAGCUCUACCUUUCUGAGGACUCCUCCGUGAGCAGCCACCUACCCUUCAUCUCCAGGGCCACCAUCCCAAGGCCACGGGGAGGCCUCAGAACCUUCCUGGACACCCCUAACAAUGUGGAUCAGGUGGGCAAAUGGCCCCAUCCCUGGAACCAGAAGCUGGAAUCCUUUCUGCCCAGUUUGGUGCUGCAGUCUGUCCUGAAGCAAGGCCGCCCUAAGGGCUACCAGCUGCUCCUGCCGUCCACCACAAACCGGCAGCAGGCUCACAGGUGAAUGCCUGCCAGAGCUCCCCCCAGCUCAGGAGUGUACCCAUGCCAGGCAAUGAAGAGAGUGCUUCUUCACCCCACAAAUAAACACACCUCCCAGGUGGCUGGGAUGGAUCACUAGGUCUCCCAGUAAAAGCCA